rnacentral:rRNA from 1 species
AUGGCCGUGAGCGACGAGUGCAAGCUCAAGUUCCAGGAGCUCAAGGCGAAGCGGAGCUUCCGGUUCAUCACGUUCAAGAUCAACGAGCAGACGCAGCAGGUGGUGGUGGACCGGGUGGGGCAGCCGGGCGAGACCUACGCCGACUUCACCGCCACCAUCCCCGCCGACGAGUGCCGCUACGCCGUCUUCGACUUCGACUUCGUCACCGACGAGAACUGCCAGAAGAGCAAGAUCUUCUUCAUCUCCUGGUCCCCGGACACGUCCAGGGUGAGGAGCAAGAUGCUGUACGCGAGCUCCAAGGACAGGUUCAAGAGGGAGCUGGACGGCUACCAGGUGGAGCUGCAGGCCACCGAACCCAGCGAGAUGACGUUGGACAUCGUCAAGGCCAGAGCCCUCUGA